GAUCGUUACUGUUUUGUCGAUCUCUGAGUUUCUUUCGAUGUUUGUACAUCAAUCAAUGCAUAUCUGAUGCAGUUACAUUUAAUGACAUAUCGCGUGAGCAUAAGACGAUGACGUAUUUGUGCGAUUUCAAAAUCGAAGGGAGAACUGAAGGAAAGAAAACCGUAAAAGGAAACCAAAGAGACAUCAAAUAAUCGCAUCUCUUUUGAUAAAGAGGAUGUAUGCCGUUGUAUGAUUAUAUAAACGCCCGCACCGAUCGACAAAUAUCUUUUCAUCAAGGGAUUGUGUAUCGCAAAUUGGACGAAGAGGAGCGUUAUUACCAGCUGUCACAGAUACUGGCAUCGAGCCGAGUCUCACAAAACUUGGAAACCCGGCCGGGCUACAACAUUUACGACUCGAGAGUCGGGUAAUAAUUGUCGCUUGAGAACCGAUCAUUUGUGGAUACCUGAGAAUUUCUGUCUGACCGCGAAGGACAUCUUUGAGUUUAGAAAUGACUCUGAGAAAUGAUUUCGCAAAAACUAUACGGGAGGAAUUCGUCAGAAGGAUUUUUCCCAGCUAACUUUGACACGCGGACUCUUUUGUAUACAACAUUUAUGUGCGAAGCUUAACUUUUUGCGCCAUGUCGCGCCUACUAUUAUCGCACUGUAUAUUUAUCUUUCAUAUAUGAACAAAAUUUUCUCUCAUUUACUUUGGUGCAAAAUAACUGCAAUACACGACAGAAAAAUUCCUUCGAAAUGCGAUAUCUUUGUAAUUUCUAUUAUUAUUCUAUAUUAAGUUUGUACAAGCUAAGCGUUUAUUUUAUUGAUACUUUCAAACAUAAAAUAUUUCAC